ensembl:lncRNA BDNF-AS BDNF antisense RNA
CUAGUAUCGCGAGAUCAGGAAGGUGGCCGAGUGUGUCGCCGCGGCCAUCAGGCACUUCUCCUUCCUGCCCUUGUAUGAAGAAGGAUGUGUUUGCUUCCCCUUGUGCCAUGAUUGUAAAUUUCCUGAGGCCUCCUCAGCCCUGCAGAACUGGGGUUAUAGCCAUGUGACUGAUCUUCGUCCAAGAAUAUGUAAAGAAAAAGUGUUGAGUUGGCUUUUAGGGCUAGAGCAAUGUAUCUUAGGCUCACUUAAGGAAGCUGUAGAGAUGAGCCCAAGGAGGGAAACCAGAAGAGCCCCCCAGGCUCACCAGUUGUUUGUUGGCUCCCUACAAACAUGUCAUUCAAGUGGCUAAUCUUACAACAGCACAAAUUCAUCUAACCAGAAAGAGAAGAGGAGGCUCCAAAGGCACUUGACUACUGAGCAUCACCCUGGACGUGUACAAGUCUGCGUCCUUAUUGUUUUCUUCAUUGGGCCGAACUUUCUGGUCCUCAUCCAACAGCUCUUCUAUCACGUGUUCGAAAGUGUCAGCCAAUGAUGUCAAGCCUCUUGAACCUGCCUUGGGCCCAUUCACGCUCUCCAGAGUCCCAUGGGUCCGCACACCUGGGUAGGCCAAGCCACCUUGUCCUCGGAUGUUUGCUUCUUUCAUGGGGGCAGCCUUCAUGCAACCAAAGUAUGAAAUAACCAUAGUAAGGAAAAGGAUGGUCAUCACUCUUCUCACCUGGUGGAACUGUAGGGAGAAAGCAGAAACAAGACAGAAAACUGAGAUACUCUAUUAUAGCAAAGAAGAAAGAUAAUUUCAUUGAGCCAUCCUGUUUUACAGGAAAUUCUGCAAGUGGCAACGUGGGUCCAUUCCGUGUGUGUCACUAGAGCUGGCGCAAGCCCAUGGCCAUGGUGAGGCAGCGUUUCCACUGGAACUAAUCUGAUACCUGCACCAGCUCUUGCAACUGUGCAGUGUUCCCACUGCAAACUACGGAUGGGGUAAAAGACUGCUCACCUCCUAUUUCUCAUCUAAUCUCACACACUCUGUUUGAUGAGGCUAUGGAGAAACAGGUCUUCUCAUACACUAAAGGUGGGAGUACAAACAAUUCAAGCCCUGUGCAGGACAAUUAGGCAAUACCUAUCAAAAUUAUACAUGAUUUUUCCUGCUGACCCAGCAAUUCCACUUCUGGGAAUAAUUGACAGAUAUAGGUGCAUAUGUACAAAAUGAUGGAAAGCUCUCUGGUAUAUAUUAGUAAGUGAUAAAACAAGGUGUAAAAUAGUGUAUAUAUGGCUACUACCUUUUGUUUUAAAAAUGGGGGAAAAUGGUGGAGCUUGCGGUGAGCCGAGAUCGUGCCACUGCACUCCAGCCUGGGCGACAGAGCGAGACUCCGUCUCAAAAAAAAAACAGGGUGGGGUGGGGGGGAAAUAAUAGUACAUACUCAUAUUUACCUGUAUCUAUAUAAAACACACUAUCAAGGAUUCACAAGAAACUAAUACAAAUGAUCACCUUAUAGAUGGUAUGUAUUGGGGGAUACUGAGGUGAGCAGGGUAUAAGUGGGGCAAGACUUUUCAGUGUAAACUUCUUUUAAAUUUUAUUUUGAUUUUUGAAUAAUGUAAAUUAACUGUCAAAUAAUUAAAUUAAAAAUAACCAAUUUAUUAACAAAA